CCUACGGGAGGCAGCAGUGAGGAAUAUUGGUCAAUGGGCGAGAGCCUGAACCAGCCAAGUCGCGUGAAGGAUGACGGCCCUACGGGUUGUAAACUCCUUUUGUCAGGGAGCAAUUGGGUCCACGCGUGGGCUUAGCGAGAGUACCUGACGAAAAAGCAUCGGCUAACUCCGUGCCAGCAGCCGAGGUAAUACGGAGGAUGCGAGCGUUAUCGGGAUUUAUUGGGUUUAAAGGGUGCGUAGGCGGACUAUCAAGUCAGCGGUAAAAAGUCGGGGCUAAACUCCGUCGUGCCGUUGAAACUGGUGUUCUAGAGUGGGCGAGAGGUGUGCGGAAUGCGUGGUGUAGCGGUGAAAUGCGUAGAGAUCAGGAAGAACACCGAUUGCGAAGGCAGCAUCCCGGCG
rnacentral:rRNA from 1 species